UACGUAGGCAGCGAGCGUUGUUCGGAGUUACUGGGCGUAAAGGGUGUGUAGGCGGUUCUUUAAGUUUGGUGUGAAGUCUCCCGGCUCAACCGGGAGGGUGCGCCGAAUACUGAGGGACUAGAGUACGGGAGAGGAAAGUGGAAUUCCUGGUGUGGCGGUGAAAUGCGUAGAGAUCGGGAGGAACACCAGAGGCGAAGGCGGCGACCUGGACAAGUACUGACACUCAACUGCGAAAGCGUGGGGAGCAAACAGG
rnacentral:rRNA from 1 species